rnacentral:rRNA from 1 species
AUCAAUAAGCGGAGGAAAAGAAACUAACAAGGAUUCCCCUAGUAACUGCGAGUGAAGCGGGAAAAGCUCAAAUUUGAAAUCUGGCGGUUCUUUAACUGUCCGAGUUGUAAUCUAGAGAAGUGUUACCUGUGCUGGACCGUGUACAAGUCUCCUGGAAUGGAGCAUCAUAGAGGGUGAGAAUCCCGUCUUUGACAUGGACUACCAGUACAUUAUGGUGUGCUCUCAAAGAGUCGAGUUGUUUGGGAAUGCAGCUCAAAAUGGGUGGUAAAUGCCAUCUAAAGCUAAAUAUUGGCGAGAGACCGAUAGCGAACAAGUACCGUGAGGGAAAGAUGAAAAGAACUUUGGAAAGAGAGUUAAACAGUACGUGAAAUUGCUGAAAGGGAAACGCUUGAAGUCAGUCACGUUGGCUAGAAAUCAGCCUUGCUUUUGCUUGGUGUACUUUCUGGUUGACGGGUCAGCAUCAAUUUUGACCAUUGGAUAAAGUCUUUGGGAAUGUGGCAUCCUUGGAUGUGUUAUAGCCCAUUGUCGCAUACUGUGGUUGGGAUUGAGGAACUCAGCACGCCAACAAGGCCGGGUUUCGACCACGUUCGUGCUUAGGAUGCUGGCAUAAUGGCUUUAAUCGACCCGUCUUGAAACACGGACCAAGGAGUCUAACAUGCCUGCGAGUGUUUGGGUGGAAAACUCAUGCGCGCAAUGAAAGUGAAAGGUUGAGAUCCCUGAAAGGGGAGCAUUGACGCCCGGACCAGACCUUUUGUGAAGGAUCCGCGGUAGAGCAUGUAUGUUGGGACCCGAAAGAUGGUGAACUAUGCCUGAAUAGGGUGAAGCCAGAGGAAACUCUGGUGGAGGCUCGUAGCGAUUCUGACGUGCAAAUCGAUCGUCAAAUUUGGGUAUAGGGGCGAAAGACUAAUCGAACCA